UGUGUCAGAUUUCAGCAUCCGCAGUAUCUUGUGUCGCUGAGACAGUGUUUGGAAUCAGCAUCAUCAAACAGAGAGACAUAAGCUUAAUUUCAGAUGUAUCAGAAAUCUGGAGAAACAAUGGAAAAACUCCGCAGACUGCCGCUGGCCUAUGACUGCCUAGGACCCCAGAUUGGACCCCAGAGAAAUCCAACAUACAUGUCAGAAGAAACACACAUUUUAACAAACUAUCCGCAUGUCCAUCCUGCUAAACAUCUCCUGCCUCACCUGCGGCAAAACUUGGGAGUCUCACGUUGGCCUCAACACCUUAUCGCCGCAAAACCGCAGUGAAGAGAAAUCAUCCUCAACUCAACAGACUAUUUAGCAAGAAGAAGGAUUGUAUGAUCGCGUUUGUCUAAUUGCAGAGUUUGUCAGAAUAAUAAUAAUAAUUUUCAUCACAUUUGUUACUGGCUCAUUAAAAAUCAA